CUUCAAACUCUUUUACUAUUAGGUCCCAAACAUUCACUUUCUAUUCAAUUCUUUCAAUAAAAUCAGCAUAUGAACAAUUUAAAGCUCUAAUUUCAUGCUAAAUCAUCAUAUAAUUUCAGCACAUAUUCAUAUCAACUUUUAACUUCUUUCAUAAAAUCAAAAACUAAUGAAUUUAACAAGUGAGCCUAGUUGUAAAAGUCAUAAAAAUACAAAAAUUUCAAGAAAUAGUCAAGAAUUGAACUUACUUGUAAUAAAAAUAUGAAGAACCAGCUUGAAGAAGCCCUUCCAUGGUGUUUU
rnacentral:lncRNA from 1 species